CCUACGGGUGGCAGCAGUGAGGAAUAUUGGUCAAUGGACGAGAGUCUGAACCAGCCAAGUAGCGUGAAGGAUGACUGCCCUAUGGGUUGUAAACUUCUUUUAUAUGGGAAUAAAACGUUCCACGUGUGGGAUUUUGUAUGUAACAUAUGAAUAAGGAUCGGCUAACUCCGGGCCAGCAGCCGCGGUAAUACGGAGGAUCCGAGCGUUAUACGGAUUUAUUGGGUUUAAACGGAGCGUAGGUUGAUUGUUCAGUCAGUUGUGAAAGUUUGCGGCUCAACCGUAAAAUUGCAGUUGAAACUGGCAGUCUUGAGUCCAGUAGAGGUGGGCGGAAUUCGUGGUGUAGCGGUGAAAUGCUUUGAUAUCACGAAGAACUCCGAUUGCGAAGGCAGUUCACUGGACUGCAACUGACACUGAGGCUCGAAAGUGUGGGUAUCAAACAGGAUUAGAUACCCUGGUAGUC
rnacentral:rRNA from 1 species